CUCAGACCUGUUCCUGUGCAAAGGGCUCACAGAGCUGCCAAGCCCUUAGCCCAAACGGCUCUCUUGCAACGAACCGACACAGACCCCUGGGCUUCAAUUCACGCCACCCCUGCCAGACACAUUAACCACUUGAUUAGGACCAAGGCAUCAUUCUGGCAUCGGAAGCGACCUGGGAGCCAGUGGAGGGACUGGAGCAUGGGCCAGAUGUGCUCACAGCAGCCUGAGCCAUGGUGAAGGCAGGCAGCCGCAGUCAGUACCAGCUGGAGCCUGGCCAUCGUCUGGACGUUCAGCUUCAGCUCCAGUGAUCCCAGCGACCCAGCCAGGAGGGAAACAUUACGGGAUGUGGACUUAUCCUGCUAGACACCAGCUAACCAGGAGAUCCAACUGGGUACAUUUCUGAGAAAAAUAUGGGAACAUACCC